GACGAACGCUGGCGGCGUGCUUAACACAUGCAAGUCGAACGAGGUCCACUGCGUAGCAAUACAAGGGAAGACCUAGUGGCGAACGGGUGCGUAACACGUGAGGAACUUGUCCCGGUCUCUGGGAUAACAGUUGGAAACGACUGCUAAUACCGGAUGACGUCGGAAUCUCGCAUGGGAUACUGACGAAAGGGUUACUGGAUCGGGAGAGCCUCGCGGCCUAUCAGCUUGUUGGUGAGGUAACGGCUCACCAAGGCAUCGACGGGUAGCUGGUCUGAGAGGAUGAUCAGCCACACUGGGACUGAGACACGGCCCAGACUCCUACGGGAGGCAGCAGUGGGGAAUUUUGGACAAUGGGGAAACCCUGAUCCAGCAAUGCCGCGUGUGUGACGAAGGCCUUCGGGUUGUAAAGCACUUUUGGCGGGUAACGAAACGGCGCGUUUCUAAUACAGAGCGCUAAUGACGGUACCCGCAGAAUAAGCACCGGCUAACUACGUGCCAGCACG
rnacentral:rRNA from 1 species